rnacentral:rRNA from 1 species
GACGAACGCUGGCGGCGUGCUUAACACAUGCAAGUCGAACGGAAAGGCCCUGCUUUUGUGGGGUGCUCGAGUGGCGAACGGGUGAGUAACACGUGUGUAACCUGCCCUUGACUUUGGGAUAACUUCAGGACACUGGGGCUAAUACCGGAUAGGCGCUCCUGCUGCAUGGUGGGGGUUGGAAAGUUUCGGCGGUUGGGGAUGGACUCGCGGCUUAUCAGCUUGUUUGUGGGGUAGUGGCUUACCAAGGCUUUGACGGGUAGCCGGCCUGAGAGGGUGACCGGCGACAUUGGGACUGAGAUACGGCCCAGACUCCUACGGGAGGCAGCAGUGGGGAAUAUUGCACAAUGGGCGGAAGCCUGAUGCAGCAACGCCGCGUGCGGGAUGACGGCCUUCGGGUUGUAAACCGCUUUCGCCUGUGACGAAGCGUGAGUGACGGUAAUGGGUAAAGAAGCACCGGCUAACUACGUG